rnacentral:rRNA from 1 species
GAUGAACGCUGGCGGCGUGCUUAACACAUGCAAGUCGAACGGAAAGGCCCAAGCUUGCUUGGGUACUCGAGUGGCGAACGGGUGAGUAACACGUGGGUGAUCUGCCCUGCACUUCGGGAUAAGCCUGGGAAACUGGGUCUAAUACCGGAUAGGACCACAUUUUGGAUGGUGUGGUGGAAAGUUUUUCGGUGUGGGAUGAGCUCGCGGCCUAUCAGCUUGUUGGUGGGGUAAUGGCCUACCAAGGCGUCGACGGGUAGCCGGCCUGAGAGGGUGUACGGCCACAUUGGGACUGAGAUACGGCCCAGACUCCUACGGGAGGCAGCAGUGGGGAAUAUUGCACAAUGGGCGCAAGCCUGAUGCAGCGACGCCGCGUGGGGGAUGACGGCCUUCGGGUUGUAAACUCCUUUCGCUAGGGACGAAGCGCAAGUGACGGUACCUGGGGAAGAAGCACCGGCUAACUACGUG